UUUUUGUGUUCUAAUAAGCCGGAAGUGCCUCUAGUGGCUUAUAGACAGCCAAUAGAGGCACUUCCGGCUUAUUAGAACACAAAAAUACCUAU